CAAUAGCGUAUAUUAAAGUUGUUGCGGUAAAAAAGCUCGUAGUUGGAUUUCUACCGAAGAUAGCCGGUCGGGUCUUCGACCUUGUAUCUGGUUUUGUCUUUGGUAUCCUCAUAGGGAACGUUUCUGCGCUUUAUUGCGUGGUGCGGUAUCUAUGACUUUUACUUUGAGGAAAUUAGAGUGUUCACGGCAGGCAAACGCCUUGAAUAUAUUAGCAUGGAAUAAUAACAUAGGAUCUUCGUCCUAUUUUGUUGGUUUCUAGGGCUAAGAUAAUGAUUAAUAGGGAUAAUUGGGGGCAUCUGUAUCAACGCGUCAGAGGUGGAAUUCUUGGAUUGCGUUGCGACAAACUACUGCGAAAGCAUUUGCCAAGGAUUUUUUCAUUGA
rnacentral:rRNA from 1 species